rnacentral:lncRNA from 1 species
AAUAACACUUUGUACAAGAUCACCUUAUAACCAUAAGAAUACCUUCACAUAUUUACCUUCACAUAGUACUAUAACACUUCAUAACUUGAUAACACUUUAAUUCAAUAGAUAAUGCCUUCAAGGCCAUAUUCAUAAUACAAUCCAUAAUUAAACACCUCCACCAUAAGUGGAUCAAACCAAGCAAGAACAAUUAUAUCAAUAAUAUGAGAUUAAGCCAACUUACCAUCCUCCAAACCCAUCCUC